ensembl:lncRNA
AUGAUCAGAUUGGGGAAAAUUCCCUCUGAUAAGCAUUUUCUGCCAGCCUGCGCGUCUAGCGCUGAUGCAAUCAGAGGCGGAGGACCGGCCCCCCAGGCCUGCUCCCAGCCUCCUUUGUCUUCAGACGCUCGCUCUCCUGCACCGUCACAAACCAGGGCUCGGGGAGGGGCCCGGACAGGAACUGGGUGUUUGUCUGUAGCCGGCGACAUGCACCUGGUUUUGAAAACUGGAUCCUGUCGUUUGGAUGGUGCUGUGUUUUGCCUUCUCAAAUGCAUCCUGGUCAAACGGUUUAUUCUAAGCCAUGAAAAACACGACGUGGCCGGGAACAGUGUGUGUCAGUGAUGGAGUGGGUUCGUGAACAGAGAUGAAAGGCGAGGCGUUGACAACUUUCACGCUGCAGCCCAAACGCUGCAAGAGGCACUUCUCUGUUCGACUCUCGGGCUCAGGGCUGACAGGACUCAGCUGCACAGGCCAAAGCGCUGUGUCUCUGCUCCCGGCCACGGCCCCCCGCCACGGCAGCUUCGGGGUCUCCCGUUUCCUUAUGCUGUGAAUUUGUACCUUCGACUUUGACUUCGCCUGAAUCUUAAUUUGCAAGACUUAUUUCUGUAACCACUGGCCUGCACCAUGAAAUUAGCACCGGUCUUCCUCAAAGCACCACUGGGAUGCCUCCCUCGUCGUGGCUCUUCUGUGCCUUUUCAUAAGGACCGCUCACGUGCCCCGCUCCUCCAGGGAGCGGGCGAAGGAGACGUCCUAGAUUUGGGGGUUGGGGCGUCAUGGAAAGGGGGUGGAUCUUUUCAGAAGUCCCUACACAGAAAAAGGAAGCGCAAUCCAUUGAUUUUCUUCCCGCGUUCCCUUCCGAGAACUUCCCAGUCUCAUCCUCAGGCACAUCCAAUAUUUUGAGCCUUUGCCUGGAAGAUGGUACGUCUGGUGUGCGUGAGCGUAAAGCUUUAAGGAACCAAACAUUGCUCCAUCUUUUCUCCUCUUUUCGUCUUUUUACGGCCGCAUCUGCAGCCUAUGGAGGUUCCCAGGCUAGGGGUUGAAUUGGAGCUGUAGCCACUGGCCUCUGCCACAGCCACACAACGAGUGAUCUGAGCCAUGCCUGCGACCUACACCGCAGCUCAUGGCGAUGCCGGAUCCUUACCCCACUGAGCAAGACCAGGGAUCAAGCCCAUGUCCCUUAUGGAUGCUAGUCGGAUUCCUUACCGCUGAGCCAUGGCGGGAACUCCCAAACUGCCUCUUCCUUGAAGUGAGUUGGGAUUUGGGGCAGAGCCAACGAGGCAGCCAUGUCUCCCCGUCACUCACCCCCUGCGUCCAGGCUGCACCACCGUGAGAUGCAGGCUGUGUCUGGAGGCGAGGCUGGGCUCUAAAGCUCCCGGGGGGCCACGGGGGCCUCUCAGCAGCCCCGUCUCACAGCCCAGGCCAGGGUGGUGACCACAGCAAGUGAGAUGUAAGAUCCCUUCCCUUUGACAACAUCCAGAAGGGUUUGAAUAACUUCUCCCCAGAGGGGCACUGGCCUGUGUGGCUUUUCGGAAGGUGGCACUGGGGCUGGAGCAACCAGGGAGGCCAGCCUAGCAGUGGUGGCUGGUGUUUGUGGGUUGACUAAGACAGGGUCAGGGGUGCUUCAAGGACUCGGGCAGGCAGCCUGGAAGUUGGGGGCCCGGUUGGCCGGAGGGAGGCAGGGGAUGACAGGCAGAGCCCAGCGCAGCUCUCGGUGUCUGCGUCUGACGGACGCCCCAGGUGGAGAAGGCAGGCCCGGGCUUGAAAUGUGCUCCUCGGCCCUCUGAUCUGUAGCCUCCUGCAGCCACCCUCCUGCCGGGGCCUCGUGUUUCUGGGCCUCGGCCCUGAAAGGGGGACUUGGGUAGCUGUUUGGAGGAUGGUUGAGUGGACAAAGGUGAAAUACUGUUUGUGAAGCAGCUACGUGAUUCCUGGAGAAAGUAAGCAUCAAAAAACCAGAAGUUUAUAUCUAUUGGGGAAAUAAUUAUUAAAAAACAAUAAUAAACAACAAACAAAAACAACAACCAAAAAACCUCCAGAAGUUGAGAGUCCCCGUUGUGGCUCAGCGAGUUAAGAACCUGACUAGUAUCCAUGAGGAAGCGGGUUUGAUCCCUGGCUUUGCUCAGUGGGUUAAGGAUCCAGCAUUGCUGUAGGCCGGCAGCUGCAGCUCCAAUUUGACCCGUAGCCUGGGAACUUCCCUAUGCCACAGGGGCCACCUUAAUAAAACAAAACAAAACAAAAACCC